rnacentral:rRNA from 1 species
GCUUAACACAUGCAAGUCGAGGGGCAGCAUUUUAGUUUGCUUGCAAACUGAAGAUGGCGACCGGCGCACGGGUGAGUAACACGUAUCCAACCUGCCGAUAACUCCGGGAUAGCCUUUCGAAAGAAAGAUUAAUACCGGAUAGCAUACGAAUAUCGCAUGAUAUUUUUAUUAAAGAAUUUCGGUUAUCGAUGGGGAUGCGUUCCAUUAGUUUGUUGGCGGGGUAACGGCCCACCAAGACUACGAUGGAUAGGGGUUCUGAGAGGAAGGUCCCCCACAUUGGAACUGAGACACGGUCCAAACUCCUACGGGAGGCAGCAGUGAGGAAUAUUGGUCAAUGGGCGCGAGCCUGAACCAGCCAAGUAGCGUGAAGGAUGAAGGCUCUAUGGGUCGUAAACUUCUUUUAUAUGGGAAUAAAGUUUUCCACGUGUGGAAUUUUGUAUGUACCAUAUGAAUAAGGAUCGGCUAACUCCGUGCCAGCAGCCGCGGUAAUACGGAGGAUCCGAGCGUUAUCCGGAUUUAUUGGGUUUAAAGGGAGCGUAGGUGGAUUGUUAAGUCAGUUGUGAAAGUUUGCGGCUCAACCGUAAAAUUGCAGUUGAAACUGGCAGUCUUGAGUACAGUAGAGGUGGGCGGAAUUCGUGGUGUAGCGGUGAAAUGCUUAGAUAUCACGAAGAACUCCGAUUGCGAAGGCAGCUCACUAGACUGUCACUGACACUGAUGCUCGAAAGUGUGGGUAUCAAACAGGAUUAGAUACCCUGGUAGUCCACACAGUAAACGAUGAAUACUCGCUGUUUGCGAUAUACAGUAAGCGGCCAAGCGAAAGCAUUAAGUAUUCCACCUGGGGAGUACGCCGGCAACGGUGAAACUCAAAGGAAUUGACGGGGGCCCGCACAAGCGGAGGAACAUGUGGUUUAAUUCGAUGAUACGCGAGGAACCUUACCCGGGCUUAAAUUGCAACAGAAUAUAUUGGAAACAGUAUAGCCGUAAGGCUGUUGUGAAGGUGCUGCAUGGUUGUCGUCAGCUCGUGCCGUGAGGUGUCGGCUUAAGUGCCAUAACGAGCGCAACCCUUAUCUUUAGUUACUAACAGGUUAUGCUGAGGACUCUAGAGAGACUGCCGUCGUAAGAUGUGAGGAAGGUGGGGAUGACGUCAAAUCAGCACGGCCCUUACGUCCGGGGCUACACACGUGUUACAAUGGGGGGUACAGAAGGCGGCUACCUGGUGACAGGAUGCUAAUCCCAAAAACCUCUCUCAGUUCGGAUCGAAGUCUGCAACCCGACUUCGUGAAGCUGGAUUCGCUAGUAAUCGCGCAUCAGCCAUGGCGCGGUGAAUACGUUCCCGGGCCUUGUACACACCGCCCGUCAAGCCAUGAAAGCCGGGGGUACCUGAAGUACGUAACCGCAAGGAGCGUCCUAGGGUAAAACUGGUAAUUGGGGCUAAGUCG